UAUAUAGAUAAAUAGCAGCUUCGCUAUAUAGUUGAAUAGCUAUUAACCACACUAAUGACUAUACAUAUAUAUUUAUUUACAAACGACCAUAUGCUUUAUUGGUCCCAAUAAGUUUGCUUAGUAAAGUUUACUUAAUAAAAAAUACUUCCGCCAUUUUACCCAGUCCUCUCGAUUUGAUACAAGCUUUUAUCGCCGACACUCGCAAGGGAAUCAAAACCAAUCAAACAGUCCGCUAUUUGUACAAAUGGCGGACUUAAUGCCAAAUAGCAUUCUCUACCAGUCAACCAUAGGGCCAAACAGACACAAUUGGUGCAGAGAGUGUUGCGGCAAGCAAGAAAGUUUACUCAAUUUCAUGGUAGAUGGCGCUGCUCUGCAUACAUCGCGCGUUCCGAGUUCCCAGCGACCUAUAAAAUCGGCGGCAGAUUGUCAAACUUUUUAUUUUUGCAAUAUUCUUUAACGAAUUAACAUGUAUACGCGUUUAAAUGUGAUAAUAUAAAAGUGUGUUGUAAAUGGCGUCUCAAUUCUUAUUUCACAAAAUAUGAGUAACGAGAGUGUACAGAGAGAAAAAAAGCGGCCAAGUGCGAGUCGGACUCGCCCAAGAAGGGUUCCUUUAUGACGUAUUAAAAAAAAGCGGCCAAGUGCGAGUCGAACUCGCGCAUGAAGGGUUCCGUACCAUUUAAGACGUAUUAAAAAAAAUCUACUUGCUAGAUCUUGUUCAACAUUUUACCACUUUGGACACACAUUUUACCACUUUGGAACUGUCUCUCGCGCAAACUAUUCAGUUUAGAAAAAAAUGAUGUUAGGAACCUAAAUAUCAUUUUUGAAGACCUAUCCAUAGAUACCCCACACGUAUGGGUUUGAUGAAAAAAAAAUUUUUUUUAAUUUAUUGACGUAUUAAAAAAAACUACUCACUAGAUCUCGUUCAAACCAAUUUUCGGUGGAAGUUUGCAUGGUAAUGUAUAUCAUAUAUUUUUUUUAGAUUUUUCAUUCUGUUAUUUUAGAAGUUACAGGGGGGGGGGGACACACAUUUUUUCACUUUGGAAGUGUCUCUCGCGCAAACUAUUCAGUUUAGAAAAAAAUGAUAUUAGAAACCUAAAUAUCAUUUUUGAAGACCUAUCCCUAGAUACCCCACACGUAUGGGUUUGAUGAAAAAAAAAAUUUUUUUUAAUUUUUAUGACGUAUUAAAAAAAAACUACUUACUAGAUCUCGUUCGAACCAAUUUUCGGUGGAAGUUUGCAUGGCAAUGUAUAUCAUAUAUUUUUUUUAGAUUUUUCGUUCUGUUAUUUUAGAAGUUACGGGGGGGGGGACACACUUUUUACCACUUUGGAAGUGUCUCUCGUGCAAACUUUUCAGUUUAGAAAAAAAUGAUAUUUGAAACCUCAAUAUCAUUUUUAAAGACCUAUCCAUAGAUACCCCACACGUAUGGGUUUGAUGAAAAAAGAUUUUUUGAGUUUCAGUUCUAAGUAUGGGGAACCCCCAAAAUUUAUUGUUUUUUUUCUAUUUUUGUGUAAACAUCAUAAUGCGGUUCAUAAAAUACAUCUACUUACCAAGUUUGAACAGUAUAGCUUUUAUAGUUUCGGAAAAAAGUGGCUGUGACAGAAUCGGACAGACAGACGGACAUGACGAAUCUAUAAGGGUUCCGUUUUUUGCCAUUUGGCUACGGAACCCUAAAAACUACUUAAACUACUACAUCUCGUUCAACAUUUUACCACUUUGGACACACAUUUUACCACUUUGGUAGUCUCUCGCGCAAACUAUUCACUUUAGAAAAAAAUUAUAUUAGGAACCUAAAUAUCAUUUUUGAAGACCUAUCCAUAGAUACCCAACACGAACGGGUUUGACGAAAAAAAUUUUUUUUUUAAUUUUAUGACGUAUUAAAAAAAACUACUCACUAGAUCUCGUUCAAACCAAUUUUCGUUAGAAGUUUGCAUCGUAAUGUAUAUCAUAUAUUUUUUUUAGAUUUUUCAUUCUGUUAUUUUAGAAGUUACAGGGGGGGGGACACACUUUUUUUCACUUUGGGAGGUUCUCUCGCGCAAACUAUUCAGUUUAGAAAAAAAUGAUAUUAGAAACCUUAAUAUCAUUUUUGAAGACCUAUCCAUAGAUACCCCACAUGUAUGGGUAUGUUGAAAAAAAAAAUUUUUUUUAAAUUUCAUGACGUAUUAAAAAAAAAACUACUUACUAGAUCUCGUUCAAACCAAUUUUCGGUGGAAGUUUACAUGGCAAUGUAUAUCAUAUAUUUUUUUUAGAUUUUUCAUUCUGUUAUUUUAGAAGUUACAGGGGGGGGACACACUUUUUUUCACUUUGGGAGGUUCUCUCGCGCAAACUAUUCAGUUUAGAAAAAAAUGAUAUUAGAAACCUUAAUAUCAUUUUUGAAGACAUAUCCAUAGAUACCCCACAUGUAUGGGUAUGUUGAAAAAAAAAUUUUUUUUUUAAUUUCAUGACGUAUUAAAAAAAAACUACUUACUAGAUCUCGUUCAAACCAAUUUUCGGUGGAAGUUUACAUGGCAAUGUAUAUCAUAUAUUUUUUUUAGAUUUUUCAUUCUGUUAUUUUAGAAGUUACGGGGGGGGGGGACACGCAUUUUACCACUUUGGAAGUGUCUCUCGCGCAAACUAUUCAUUUUAGAAAAAAAUGAUAUUAGAAACCUCAAUAUCAUUUUUGAAGACCUAUCCAUAGAUACCCUACACGUAUGGGUUUGAUGAAAAAAGAUUUUUUGAGUUUCAGUUCUAAGUAUGGGGAACCCCCAAAAUUUAUUGUUUUUUUUCUAUUUUUGUGUGAAAAUCUUAAUGCGGUUCAUAGAAUACAUCCACUUACUAAGUUUGAACAGUACAGCUCUUAUAGUUUCGGAAAAAAGUGGCUGUGACAGAAUCGGACAGACAGACGGACAUGACGAAUCUAUAAGGGUUCCGUUUUUUGCCAUUUGGCUACGGAACCCUAAAAAUUGACGUCCGCCAUCUUUAUUUCCAAAAUGGACGUCAUUUGUAAAAUUAGUACACAUACAUCAUACAACAUGAAAACUAAAAACAUUUCCAUCCUCUUUUGGGCAGUUGUGUAAGUCUGUGAUAACCCUAGGUAGGUACGGAGACCUUGAGCGGUGUCGGCAUUUACGCAAACAUCAAAGGCGUCGACCCACUGUUACUUUUUACACUGUGCUUUUAGUGUGUAAACGAAAACGUCACAUGAUAUAUCAAAAGAAAAGUUAUUUUAUCUUAUACCUUUAAACGAGCAAUUCUUGUAUAUAUAUUAUAUAUAAUUAUAUUUCUGUGAUCUCGGAAACGGCUCUAACGAUUUCGCUGAAAUUUGGUAUAUAGGGGUUUUUGGGGGUAUACAAUCUAUCUAGAUUAGUCUUAUGUUUGGGAAAACGCGUGUUUUCGAGUUUUCAUGCGUUUUUCUUUCGACGCAGAAUAUGGUCACUAAUUUCGUGUUGCCGGCCACUGUCCGUCUGGUCCAGCGGGUUAAGACGCGGACUGCUAAACGAGUGUUACGGGUUCGAAUCUCGCCCGGUGACUAACUUUUGUUUUUUUUUAUAUGUUCAAGUUUAUAUAUAAUUUUUUAAUUUUUAUUGUUUUACACAAGUUUAAUUUAGUAAAAAAAAUGACCUAUGUAAUAAGAGAAAUCGACAAUAGAUGGCGUUACUCUGUGACAAGUGCUGUAAGGUUAAAAUCGAUUGUAAAUAAUAAUAAUUGUCAGUUCACAUUUUACUUUUUAAGUUUAUGUAGA